rnacentral:rRNA from 1 species
UAAGUUUCACCGGAUUUUUUUAGUCCCCCCUCUCCAGGGAGGCGGGCGGCUAUGGAUGCGAAGUCGAGCGAACAGACAAGGAGCUUGCUCCUUUGACGUUAGCGGCGGACGGGUGAGUAACACGUGGGUAACCUACCUAUAAGACUGGGAUAACUUCGGGAAACCGGAGCUAAUACCGGAUAAUAUUUCGAACCGCAUGGUUCGAUAGUGAAAGAUGGUUUUGCUAUCACUUAUAGAUGGACCCGCGCCGUAUUAGCUAGUUGGUAAGGUAACGGCUUACCAAGGCGACGAUACGUAGCCGACCUGAGAGGGUGAUCGGCCACACUGGAACUGAGACACGGUCCAGACUCCUACGGGAGGCAGCAGUAGGGAAUCUUCCGCAAUGGGCGAAAGCCUGACGGAGCAACGCCGCGUGAGUGAUGAAGGUCUUCGGAUCGUAAAACUCUGUUAUUAGGGAAGAACAUACGUGUAAGUAACUAUGCACGUCUUGACGGUACCUAAUCAGAAAGCCACGGCUAACUACGUGCCAGCAGCCGCGGUAAUACGUAGGUGGCAAGCGUUAUCCGGAAUUAUUGGGCGUAAAGCGCGCGUAGGCGGUUUUUUAAGUCUGAUGUGAAAGCCCACGGCUCAACCGUGGAGGGUCAUUGGAAACUGGAAAACUUGAGUGCAGAAGAGGAAAGUGGAAUUCCAUGUGUAGCGGUGAAAUGCGCAGAGAUAUGGAGGAACACCAGUGGCGAAGGCGACUUUCUGGUCUGUAACUGACGCUGAUGUGCGAAAGCGUGGGGAUCAAACAGGAUUAGAUACCCUGGUAGUCCACGCCGUAAACGAUGAGUGCUAAGUGUUAGGGGGUUUCCGCCCCUUAGUGCUGCAGCUAACGCAUUAAGCACUCCGCCUGGGGAGUACGACCGCAAGGUUGAAACUCAAAGGAAUUGACGGGGACCCGCACAAGCGGUGGAGCAUGUGGUUUAAUUCGAAGCAACGCGAAGAACCUUACCAAAUCUUGACAUCCUUUGACAACUCUAGAGAUAGAGCCUUCCCCUUCGGGGGACAAAGUGACAGGUGGUGCAUGGUUGUCGUCAGCUCGUGUCGUGAGAUGUUGGGUUAAGUCCCGCAACGAGCGCAACCCUUAAGCUUAGUUGCCAUCAUUAAGUUGGGCACUCUAAGUUGACUGCCGGUGACAAACCGGAGGAAGGUGGGGAUGACGUCAAAUCAUCAUGCCCCUUAUGAUUUGGGCUACACACGUGCUACAAUGGACAAUACAAAGGGCAGCGAAACCGCGAGGUCAAGCAAAUCCCAUAAAGUUGUUCUCAGUUCGGAUUGUAGUCUGCAACUCGACUACAUGAAGCUGGAAUCGCUAGUAAUCGUAGAUCAGCAUGCUACGGUGAAUACGUUCCCGGGUCUUGUACACACCGCCCGUCACACCACGAGAGUUUGUAACACCCGAAGCCCGGUGGAGUAACCCAUUGGAGCUAGCCGU